ACACUUACCUGGCAGGAGAGAUACCCGGAUCAGGAAGGUGUUUUCCCAAGGGAGGCUCCUUGUGCUGUCAUGAUUUUCCCCAAGUGCAGGACACUCAACUGCAUAAUCUGUGUAGUGGGAGAUAGUGUUUGUGCCAUCCCCUG
ensembl:snRNA U1 U1 spliceosomal RNA